rnacentral:lncRNA from 1 species
CUAGAAACGGCCCUGCAGAUAUGCUUUUGAUAUACGGCAGAGUACAGCCGUGGCUCGGUACAGACCAAGAGGGAACCAUGUGUGUGUGUGUGUGUGUGUCCUCGUUCAGACAUCUGACAGAGGAGCUUCCAUCCGGCGCGAUCAUUCACCUUGAUCGGCUGUUACCGUGGCAACCCCAAAUGCCGUCGGCUGUAGGUUAGUCGUGACGGGGUCGGUUGCCUCUGGUUACAGUUGCGUCUGUUAACAACACCGCCGUGGUUACCCGUAGUUACGGAUGAUUUGUAAUUUGGCCGGUGCCGCAUACAUAUAUAUAUAUAUAUAUAUAUCGUCCUGGUUGUAGCAGGGUUGUCAUGGAGAUACCUAGUCAGUUGUUAUGGUUGUCAUGGAGAUAGAGUAUGGAACCUCGGCUGUGAGGUUAGACUUUCACAUGGAGGGACAGGAGGAUACCUGGUCAGUUGUCAUGGAGAUAAUAAUGGGAACGGAGGAUACCUCGUCAGUUGUCAUGGAGAUACGGUAUUAUGGAACCUCGGCUAUGAGGUUAGACUUUCACAUGGAGGGACAGGAGGAUACCUAGUCAGUUGUCAUGGAGAUAAUAAUGGUGAAAGGAGGAUACCAAGUCAGUUGUCAUGGAGAUAAUAAUGGGAAAGGAGGAUACCUAGUCAGUUGUCAUGGAGAUAAUAAUGGGAAAGGAGGAUACCAAGUCAGUUGACAGGAGGUUUAUUAAUGGGCAGUUAUAGAGGACAGGAGGUUUAAUAAUGGGCAGUUAUAGAGGACAGGAGGUUUAUUAAUGGGCAGUUAUAGAGGACAGGAAGUUUAUUAAUGGGCAGUUAUAGAGGACAGGAUAGUAUAGAGGACAGGAGGUUUAUUAAUGGGCAGUUAUAGAGGACAGGAGGUUUAUUAAUGGGCAGUUAUAGAGGACAGGAGGUUUAUUAAUGGGCAGUAGUAUAGGACAGGGGGUUUAUUAACGGGCAGUUAUAGAGGACAGGAGGUUAUAGAGGACAGGAGGUUUAAUAACGGGCAGUUAUAGAGGACAGGAGGUUUAUUAAUGGGCAGUUAUAGAGGACAGGAGGUUUAUUCAUGGGCAGUAGUAUAGGGCAUAUAUCCUUGUGUUUCUGCCAAAACGUGCUGUGUAGAAAUAGAGCAGGGCUUCGAUGUAUUCCUUUUUUUGUAUCGAUAGCGUUAAAUGUCUUUAACAACAACCAAUAUCUAUAUACCUAGCUAUAGAAAUAUACGUCAGUGUCAAAUGUUAAUAUACAGUAUGUCCUGUGAAACCAUGUGGUCAGUAUUGUAAACCAGCAUAUAUAUAUAUAUAUAUAUAUA